rnacentral:lncRNA from 1 species
UUUUUUAAUAACCAUGAUGGACAGGCCAGCUUAUGCACAUAUCAAGCUCUCAACUAAUUCUACAAGUUACCUGCAAAGAUCCGUUCCAGUAGGCAUUUUGAGUUGUCAUGACAUAGAAUCAUUAUACUAUGUUACAUACUCUCAGUAAAUCAAGGUUUUAGACAUCACACUGGAAGUAAAGGUUUUAUAAAGUCAUGACACAAUGAAAAAAGUCAUCCAAUCAGGUAAAUUAUGCAAGAAGAAAUCAGUAAAUGGCACCCCAAAUUAUUGUUUACUUUACCAUUGAGGCAAUCUUUUUAAAGACGAAAUCAAUUCGCAUUUAGCAUCGCCUCUUUAACUCCUAGGCUUAUAUACCGAAACAGCCUAAAAAAGAGUUUAUCCUGAAGACUUUAAAAGGUAACAAACCACAGCUUCAAGUGAACCAACUCCAAAACGUUUUAGUAUAAUAAAGUUAGCAGCAACAUAAUAAAUAUUUGCACUUUUAAAUUAUUCUGUCAACGCUGUUUUCAAUUGGAGUAAAGGAAUGAAUUAUACAGAAUACAAAUACUUUAUUUUCUUUCUUUUCCUUUGAAAAUACAGAUGCUUUCCUUGGCAGCUAGCAAGAAAUUAGAUGUAGCGAAAUUAAAUCCUAGAAACCGAUCAACAAAGGUGCUAUGUUGUCGUUGAACAAUUUUAAAGUCAAUAAACAUUAAGCAUGUACUAUUAAGAAUGAGAAUCUAUGGAGUACAAGAAAACACCUUUUAAAUAUCAAACAAGCUUCAGUUUAUACUGUGUUUUGCCUACUCUAGCUCAUGUCUAAAAUAUUCAAACCAUAGGCAUGCUAAAUGACCAACUUGUGUUUUAAAGGCUGGACUUGUCGUAGAAAGUAGCAACAUCAUUUUGCUUUCUUAUUCUACUCUUCUUUUCUUGUAUCAUCUACUGGAUCUAAAGGAGUACUGGUUAGUCACUCUUCAUCCAUUUCUAAUAACCCAUUCUUAGUAAAAUGCUUAGCAAUACCUUGUCUCGGGACAACUUUGGUUGAGUUCCUUGUUGCGGAAGCCAAAUGUAUAUAGUGUGAAUAAGUCACAACUACUAUACCAAAAUUAUGACAGCCACCAAAUAAUAAAUAAGACAAUAAAGCAACAAUAAAGGGAACACCAG